rnacentral:rRNA from 1 species
UACGUAGGGGGCAAGCGUUGUCCGGAAUCAUUGGGCGUAAAGCGCGUGUAGGCGGCUUGGUAAGUCUGCUCUGAAAGCCCGGGGCUCAACCCCGGGAGGCGGGUGGAUACUGUCAAGCUCGAGUCCGGAAGAGGAGUGUGGAAUUCCUGGUGUAGCGGUGAAAUGCGGUAGAUAUCUGGAGGAACACCGGUGGCGAAGGCGGCAUCCUGGCCGGCAUUGACGCUGAGGAGCGAAAGCCAGGGGAGCAAACGGG